CCUACGGGAGGCUGCAGUAGGGAAUAUUGCUCAAUGGGGGAAACCCUGAAGCAGCAACGCCGCGUGGAGGAUGAAGGUUUUCGGAUUGUAAACUUCUAUCAAUAGGGAAGAAAGAAAUGACGGUACCUAAAUAAGAAGCCCCGGCUAACUACGUGCCAGCAGCCGCGGUAAUACGUAGGGGGCAAGCGUUAUCCGGAAUUACUGGGUGUAAAGGGAGAGUAGGCGGCAAGGUAAGCGAUAUGUGAAAGCCUUAAGCUUAACUUAAGGAUGGCAUAACGAACUAUCUAGCUAGAGUACAGGAGAGGAAAGCGGAAUUCCUGGUGUAGCGGUGAAAUGCGUAGAUAUUAGGAAGAACACCAGUGGCGAAGGCGGCUUUCUGGACUGAAACUGACGCUGAGGCUCGAAAGCGUGGGGAGCGAACAGGAUUAGAUACCCGUGUAGUC
rnacentral:rRNA from 1 species